GCUGAAGCUAAAGGCCCCCUAACGGAGAAACCGGUUCUACGGAACCCGAGUGAGGUGGAGCAUCUUUUCAAAUGACACGUGCAUACAGUGAAGUAUGAUGAGUCUUGAGGAAUGUGGCGGAUACACGGCUAUGAAAUGAAGUGGAACAAGCAAGGCCCAAAAGAAGAUGUAAGCAGUGGAUAAUCUUGUUUGCACAACUACCUGAGAAGUUUUAUUGUACCAGUGCUACUGAAUUAUAUGCCAACAGUCAUGUCGUGCUCAAGCAUCAACAACGAUCUUGAAUGAUCCAUCAGCUCUACUAGUGUUUUGUCGAAAGCAAAGCUGGAAACCUUUUAAUUCUAAAAGAACAUGCUCUGCAGUCAUUAGAGUGAUUUACUUUCUCAGUUCCAGAUUUUCCAAGUGUGCCCUCGCUUGUACCCUAGAGGUUUCUAACCUGGGGUAAUGCACCUUAUCAGCCUGUGGGAAGGAUAAGAGGUGUACUUGCAAAUGAGAAGAAGGGCUAGUGUGGAGGGGAGGUGAGAGGGAGAGGCUGCCAGGCUAGUACUGGUAAGCUCACAAGAAGAUCCGUGUUAGGCAAGUAUGCAUGGAGGGUGAAGACCUGGAAAUCGGUCCCCUCAAAACUGACUGUACUUACAUCAAUCUUGGAAAGCCUCUGCAUAUACCUAAGAGUGCUGAGAUCCCAGUGUGAAGACCACUGCCGACCUGAGGGAAGAGUUUUACUCCAGGAUAUGGACACCAUGGCAUCCUUGGACACACCUGUAUGGGCUAUGGAGUGAAGGAGCAAACAUUUUGGGAUCACUCCUUCCUUUUCUUUCUCUUCCCUGGGUUGCAGAUGAAUAUUGCCUCUGAAGUCAGACUGUAAGGUAUAAGUUUUUAGUUUCCCCACUUACCAGUUUUCUAAAUAUGUACAAGUGAUUUAACUGUGUGCUUUGGUCUACUAAUGUGUG